rnacentral:rRNA from 1 species
AAGCAGCCCGGUAAGGGCGAUGAAAUAGACCUGAAACCAUAUGUUUACAAGGAGUAGAAGAGGUAGCAAUACCUCGACUGCGUGCCUAUUGAAGAAUGAGCCAACGAGUUGAUGCAUGUUGCAGGCUAAGAGCGAGAGCUUGGAGCCAUAGGGAAACCGAGUGUGAAUAGCGCGUUAGUAGUAUGCAUCAGACCCGAAGCCAGAUGAGCUUGCCUUGAGCAGGUUGAAGUGACUCGAAAGAGUUAUGGAGGACCGAACGCUAGAGUUGUGCAAUUCUCUGCGAUGACUUGAGGUAAGGAGUGAUAAGCUAAUCGAAUCUGGUAAUAGCUGGUUCUCUCCGAAAUAGCUUUUGGGCUAGCGUUGAAAUUACCCCUCUGGGGUAGAGCACUGGAAGGUCUCGACAGGUCGAAAGAUCACGAGACCUAUCAAACUCCGAAUACAGAGAGUAAACUUUUCAGCAGUUAGACGGUGGGGGCUAAGCUCCAUACGUCAAAAAGGAAACAGCCUAGAUCUCCAUUUAAGGUCCCUAAAUCUAUACUAAGUACACUUAAGGUGGUGUAUUUUCUCUGACAAUGAGGAUGUAAGCUUAGAAGCAGCUAUCAUUUAAAGAAAGCGUAACAGCUCACUCAUCGAGAGAAUAUGCGCCGCAGAUAAUCGGGGUUAAGUAUAGUACCGAAACUGAGGGCUUGUAGGUGAUUCGUCAUUUAUAAGCGGUAGGAGAGUUUUCUACUCUGCGUUGAAGGCAAAGGCGUGAGCCAUGCUGGAGCGUGUAGAAGUAAGAAUGUUGGCACAAGUAACCACAAUGCGGGUGAGAAUCCCGCACGCCGAAAGAACAAGGUUUCCUUGGCUAUGAAAAUCAGCCAAGGGUUAGUCGGGCCUAAGGGGAUGGUGAAAACCGCACCCGAUGGACACAUGGUUAAUAUUCCAUGACUUUUAUGUAGAGUGACGAAGGGACGAAGUGCAGUAUGUGGCGCCCGUUAUUGGAUUUGGGUGCAUGCUGUAGGGGGUUUACCCAGGAAAAUCCGGGUAAUGUCUUUGAUGACAAUUCCGAGCAGAGUGCAAACGUGGGGGUUCGCCCUUACGGAUGUUGCAAAGCGCGCUUCCGAGAAAAUCUUCUAAACUUAUCUAUGUAGAAACCGUACCGCAAACCGACACAGGUGUUCAGGUCGAGUAGACCAAGGCGAACGAGUGAGAGGUCUCCAAGGAACUCGGCAAAAAAGCAGCCGUAACUUCGGAAUAAGGCUUGCCCUUUGUUAACUCAAAGGGCCGCAGCUAAAGUAUCUCUGGCAACUGUUUAUCAAAAACACAGCUCCCUGCGAACUCGCAAGAGGAUGUAUAGGGGGUGACACUUGACCAAUGCCCGAAGGUCAAACAACGGCGGUGCGAUCAUAUCAAGCUGACUGUUGUAAGCCCGGGUGAAUGUCGGCGAUAACUAUAAUCGUCCUAAGGUAGCGAAAUUCCUUGUCAGGUAAGUUCUGACCCGCAUGAAAGGUGUAACGAUUUGGAAACUGUCUCAACGAACAUCCCGGUGAAAUUGCAAUGACGGUAAAGAUGCCGUCGACCUGCAGCAAGACGAAAAGACCCCAUGGAGCUUUACUACAACUUGGUAUUGACUUAAAGUUUUUGUUGCCGAGCAUAGGUGGGAGACUUCGAAGCGCCCCUUCAGGGGGGUGUGGAGUCAUCACUGGAAUACCACCCUGCAAAGAUUUUAAUUCUAACCUGCCGCCGUAAUCCGGCGGGGGGACAGUGCCUGGCGGGUAGUUUGACUGGGGCGGUCGCCUCCUAAAGAGCAACGGAGGCGUUUACUAAGGUUGGCUAGGUCCGGAUGGAAAUCGGGCCGAUAGCGCAAAAGCACAAGCCAGCUUUACUGAGAGACCGAUCAGUUAAUCAGUUACGAAAGUAGAAUUUAGUGAACCGACCAUCACUCGUAGGAGUGUGGAAGAUCAUCAGAUAAAAGCUACCCUGGGGAUAACAGGCUGAUCUUGCCCAAGAGUCCAUAUCGACGGCAAGGUUUGGCACCUCGAUGUCGGCUCAUCGCAUCCUGGGGCUGGAGAAGGUCCCAAGGGUUUGGCUGUUCGCCAAUUAAAGCGGUACGCGAGCUGGGUUCAGAACGUCGUGAGACAGUUCGGUCCCUAUCUGCCGUAGGUGUUGGAGAAGUGAGAAACGCUGUCCUUAGUACGAGAGGACCGGGAUGGACGAACCUCUGGUGUGUCAGCUGUCCUGCCAAGGGCAUUGCUGAGUAGCUAAGUUCGGAACGGAUAAAUUCUGAAAGCAUCUAAGAAUGAAGCCGUCCCCAAGAUUAGGAAUCAUUUAGACUCGUGAGAGAUGAUCACGUUGAUAGGCUCUAGGUGUAAGGCGAGUAAUCGCUUCAGCCGAGGAGUACUAAUACGCCGAUUCCUAUUGGG